rnacentral:rRNA from 1 species
GACGAACGCUGGCGGCGUGCUUAACACAUGCAAGUCGAACGGUAAAGCCUUUCGGGGUACACGAGUGGCGAACGGGUGAGUAACACGUGGGUGAUCUGCCCUGCACUUCGGGAUAAGCCUGGGAAACUGGGUCUAAUACCGGAUAGGACCACUGCCUGCAUGGGUGGUGGUGGAAAGCUUUUGCGGUGUGGGAUGGGCCCGCGGCCUAUCAGCUUGUUGGUGGGGUGAUGGCCUACCAAGGCGACGACGGGUAGCCGGCCUGAGAGGGUGACCGGCCACACUGGGACUGAGAUACGGCCCAGACUCCUACGGGAGGCAGCAGUGGGGAAUAUUGCACAAUGGGCGCAAGCCUGAUGCAGCGACGCCGCGUGAGGGAUGACGGCCUUCGGGUUGUAAACCUCUUUCAGCACCGACGAAGCGCAAGUGACGGUAGGUGCAGAAGAAGGACCGGCCAACUACGUGCCAGCAGCCGCCGUAA